UACGGGGGGGGGCAAGCGUUGUUCGGAAUUACUGGGCGUAAAGGGCUCGUAGGUGCCAACUAAGUCGGACGUGAAAUCCCUCGGCUUAACCGGGGAACUGCGUCCGAUACUGGUUGGCUUGAGUUUGGGAGAGGGAUGCGGAAUUCCAGGUGUAGCGGUGAAAUGCGUAGAUAUCGAGAGGAACACCAGUGGCGAAGGCGAGUCCCUGGACAACUUCUGACACUGAGGCACGAAAGCUAGGGGAGCAAACAGG
rnacentral:rRNA from 1 species